GGUCACUAUAAGUAAAAAAAAUGACAUGAAGAUACUCAACAGCAACAACUUUAUUUAUUUAUGCAGGUGUGAUAGAUACCGAUGACAUUGCAAAUCUCCGCAGAACACCACAAGCGACUAUAUAUUUUGCUGGUGAAUUUGAUAGUGUCUCCUGUAGAGUAACCAGAGAUCUUCUUGUAAUGGACAUGGAUGACAGCCAAUUUGAGCUGAUCACAGUUUUAGGCUACCAGGUGGGAGCAGAAUUUUGCCGUCAAACUAAAGGCCCCUACUGCAAUCAAGCCCUAAAGCCCUCCACAUAUUAUAGGGUGAAUUUCUUUUUUCUGGAUAACAAAUCUGUAAUAAGAGCUCAUACGGAUUGGUCAACAGCACUACAAACGAGAAACGGUGAGUUUCAAACCAGAUGAAGGAACCAUAACACAAAAAACACUAAUAAGAUAACUUCUUGAUUUUGUAAAGGAAAGAUUGUUCUGGCUUGUUUAUAAAAUAUCUAGUCUCUGAAUUCCCCACUGCAAUGUAUCUUAAGUGCUCAUUGACUUAUUAUAGAACCAUUGAUCGGUAGUUUGUGCGAAGAAAAACAAGUAACACAAUUUCCACUCAAUUGGCAAUAGAAAAGUAACAUCCCUUGAGAUCCAAGUUAUCCAUAUCCCAUGUCAUUUAUUGUUGAGACAUUGCUCCCUGAAACUAAUUUGCUAUCAUCUCCAUAGCUUAUGGUUAGUUUCUGUUCCAACUGCCAAAACACAUACUGGAGACGAUGACAGUGGCAGCCUUACUAUACUUAUUUUAGCCAAUUUGCAAAUCUAUGUUCAACCGCUGGUUAAUUAUUCUCCACGAUGCAUAUAGG
rnacentral:lncRNA from 11 species